rnacentral:rRNA from 1 species
AUUGAACGCUGGCGGCGUGCCUUACACAUGCAAGUCGAACGGCAGCACGGGAGCAAUCCUGGUGGCGAGUGGCGAACGGGUGAGUAAAGUAUCGGAACGUGCCCAGUCGUGGGGGAUAACGUAGCGAAAGUUACGCUAAUACCGCAUACGAUCUAUGGAUGAAAGCGGGGGAUCGCAAGACCACGCGCGAUUGGAGCGGCCGAUAUCAGAUUAGGUAGUUGGUGGGGUAAAGGCUCACCAAGCCGACGAUCUGUAGCUGGUCUGAGAGGACGACCAGCCACACUGGGACUGAGACACGGCCCAGACUCCUACGGGAGGCAGCAGUGGGGAAUUUUGGACAAUGGGCGAAAGCCUGAUCCAGCCAUGCCGCGUGCAGGAUGAAGGCCCUCGGGUUGUAAACUGCUUUUGUACGGAACGAAAAGGUUUGGGCUAAUAAGCUGAGCUCAUGACGGUACCGUAAGAAUAAACACCGGCUAACUACGUGCCAGCCGCCGCCGUAA